rnacentral:rRNA from 1 species
GAUGAACGCUGGCGGCGUGCCUAAUACAUGCAAGUCGAGCGAACAGAUAAGGAGCUUGCUCCUUUGAAGUUAGCGGCGGACGGGUGAGUAACACGUGGGUAACCUACCUAUAAGACUGGGAUAACUUCGGGAAACCGGAGCUAAUACCGGAUAACAUUUAGAACCGCAUGGUUCUAAAGUGAAAGAUGGUUUUGCUAUCACUUAUAGAUGGACCCGCGCCGUAUUAGCUAGUUGGUAAGGUAACGGCUUACCAAGGCGACGAUACGUAGCCGACCUGAGAGGGUGAUCGGCCACACUGGAACUGAGACACGGUCCAGACUCCUACGGGAGGCAGCAGUAGGGAAUCUUCGGCAAUGGGCGAAAGCCUGACCGAGCAACGCCGCGUGAAUGAUGAAGGCCUUCGGGUUGUAAAAUUCUGUUAUAAGGGAAGAACGACUUUAGUAGGAAAUGGCUAGAGUGUGACGGUACCUUAUGAGAAAGCCACGGCUAACUACGUGCCAGCCGCCGCGGUAA